UGGACUCUAAUAAGUCCUGAAAA
rnacentral:tRNA from 1 species